GAGAAGCGGGACAGAGGAGCAGACCUCCCGGUUAAACACUGAGGUCAGCGAGGCAGAGACUGUGCCCGUUUCGGCUCACCUUUCGUCCUGGCCCCACCGAGCAUCAGUAGGCUCUCAAUGCUCAGGGAUUUGCAAGGACCCAUGUGACGACAUUGGGAUAACUCAUCUCCCCAUCUCAAGAUCCUUCAGAUCACAUCAGCAAAGUCCUCUCCUCCAUAUGGUAUCAUAAGCAGUUUUGCCAUUGGCUGGUUCUUGUCUUUCACCUCAUUUUCCCCUUUCACCUCGCUGAGACAACUGCUGUCAUGCUCUGCAUCUCAUCAGGCUUUUAAGAAGGAGAGAGUGAACCAGGGAGAUGGAUAAUCAGCAGCGUGGCACGGUGCUUGCAUCAUGUGGUACUGAAGGAGCUGGCCGUGUCAGCUGCAGGUCCGUGCACCAGGGGUUUUGCAGCCAGAUAGCACAGGGUCAGACCCCAGCAGACAUCAGAUUAGCUUCACGUACUCGGGCAAGUUACUUAAAUUGUGAGUCUGUUUUCUCAUCUAUCUAAAAAUCUCGCAUUCUGUGACCCUUGGUGCUGCAGUAAGACCGUUAGUACUUUAGUCCACGUACUAAAUAAAGUCUCUCUUAAGUCGUCCUGGCCCACCCUCUAAACACAAAACUGAGGCCAUGAAGGCCGCCUCCUCCACGAGGCCCCUCACCUCCUCAUCCCCAGCCCAGUGGGAAGGAUUAAUGCAUUCUUUCUUGAAAGAACUUAACAUGUACAUAUGGAAUUGGCAAAAGUCUGGCUUUUUGGCCCAAUUCCAAGUAAAACUAAUCAUCAGAAACUUCAUGCAGAUUUACGAUUACUCUUUCUCUAACAGGGUGAGGCCCAAGCUGCUGAGACAGAAUUAAAAAGGAGCUGCUGCAAGCAGAGAGAGAGCAGGGCUUCACAAAGAGGCAUUUUCAGACGGGGCCCCUGGGGUGGGGCUCUGACUCCAGGGUGGCUGUAAAUUAACAUCAGACGCUAACACGGCCUCACUCCCCUCUCCUGCGACUGUGGCGAUGGGCCCACCAGCCCACGACCGGGCUACCAGCUUUCAUUUAAUGCUAAUGAAGAGAGGCACCUAGGAUCGUCCUAAUCUAGUGUACUUAAUCCAAGAUAUCAUUUCAUUUUAUGACGGCUGGUUUGUCUCAAUUAAGCCAGAUGUGUGCACUGAGGUCUUUCUCCUCAUGGGUCCAGUGGAAAUGGCAUUGAGUGCUGAGCCCCGUUCCAGAGCAUCUUGCCAUGUACUAAUCUUGAGAUCUGUAACGAGCCAUCUCCUCUCUCUGCAGCCCUGUUCCCCUUUUAUAAAAUGGCUGAUGAGGGUCAGAACGGAGGAUGCCAACCGCCCACAGAAAGAGUUUGGUACACACUCUGAAGAAACAUUAAAUCUACUGCCAACACUAACAAAUUGGCAGAGUCCCCAUGCAAAACUUGAUUUUUGGCUUCUGUCAGAGAACUGGGGGCUUGGGUCACGAGACCUAUCUUCCAAGAUGGUGGCAGCUGGGUGGCGCUGAUCACGGGCCCUGCAUUCCGCUUGAGCAGAUGCUGGCUUUCUCUGCCACGCCCCUCCCCUGCCUCCGCUCCCUAUUAUGACAUCUGGCCCUGUUAUUCAUCCGUCCACUCUCUGGUUCCUAUGUUCUAGUUUGAAACCCCCAUUUUGCCAAAAGCUUUUCUAGCUGAAUUUAGGAUUUUGAGGAUCAGUGUGAUCUGGAAUAGUCCAGUUGAAGAUACUCUUGCUGGCUCAAUACUUUAGUGAGACCGAUCUAUUAUAAUUCUACUAACAAACCUAAAAUGCCCCUGAUUCAGUUUACUCUAUCUCUCUAUUUUGAAAGCCUACUGUAUGAAAAGCAUUUGCUGGCAUAUACUGGAGAUAUAAGGAUGAAUAUAAAUUUGAUAGAAGAGAAGACAGAAAAUAAACAAGGAAGUGGCCAAGUGAAUGUUAAUGAAAUUAACAUCUGAGGGCAUCUCAGUGUCACAGAGGAGCAGAGUUUUAUGGAAAAGAAUCAUUUAGACGGCAACUCCUGUGGCUGAGAACUUGACAUUUAAGCAGACAAUAAGAGCUAGAGAAGAAGCCAGGCAAAGGUCAGUGGGGCUGGAUACCAGAGGGUGGAAGUGAGGGGUGUGGACAGGAGGUUGAUGAGAUAGGCAGGGGCUAGACCAACAGGGCAUUGAGGAUCUAACGGAGGGCCAGGCUUGAUUUUUCAAAGCUCUUGGGAAAUACAGAUGAAACCGUUAUUGGAUGCCAAACUGACACGGAUCAGAGUCUCAACUCAGGGAACCCACAGAGACCGGAACAAACACAUCCUCUUCACCUCCCCGCCCCCCGACCCCUCCAACUUUGUGACCUUCCUUCUGUGCCCUUUUUCCAAAUUAUUUGUCCCCCCAGUGAGUAAAUCUCAUUAAAGACAUUAUUUGCAUAUGGAAGUUUCUUUUCUUGCAGAGGUUUAUGAUUGCAUCAUUUCAGAAAAGAAAACUAGCCCUUAUUGAAAAUGUUCUUUAUGCCAGA